rnacentral:misc_RNA from 1 species
GCCCCUCCCCUUCCCACUACUCGCGCUUGCUGCACCUUCCAUGCAGCCCAUCACGCGCGUCUUCCUUCUAUAGAGCCCAUCUGACUCGUUUGCGUAGGGUGUGGGGUGUGCGCACUGCUGCCGCUCCUGAAGACGCUUGUUCCCCUCUAUCGAUGCCCAUGGCCCUUCCACCGCUUCGCCUUUUCGUCCUCCUCUCUUGGGUUGCGGCAUCGCUUGUGCCUCGUGCGCGGCUGCCGUGGUUUCUUCUUCGCCACCCUCACGCGGCACCGAAAAUGGCGAAAACGCAAACCCGUGCCCCGAUGCCCUCCCUUCCUCUCCCGAAUAAGGGGGACUUCGGCGUGGCACCCGUGCGCAGCGCACCGCGUGAAGUGAGGAGCGGCUGGCCCACUUCCUGGAGGUCCUGCCGGGUGCAGGCCCGCUGCUGAGCGUGGUAGCGCUGCUCGGCAGGCUUUCUCACCGGUUUGCGCUACUCCGGCGACGUGACGGUCCGCCCGGGCGGCGAGCAGCAGCAGGUGACUCGUCAUCUGGGGACUGGCUCGUGGACGUGCCUUGCGCAGCGGACGACCCACUACUGGCGCUGCUCCAUGCACGCCGUGUAGUGACUAUGAAUGGUGAAACUGUGUGUGCGGCCAUGCGGCUGGAGGGGUGACGCGGAGUGGGCGCGUUGCGGGAACUGCUGAACACGUGCCCGAGCGACGCGCUAGGCAUGUGCGAGUCGAUGUGUGGACAGGCUGCAUGCAGAUUGCAGGCACGUGUCGAGCCCUGAAGCAGGCAGCGGGGUCGGUGAUUCAGGCGGCAUGCCGGUUGAAGGUCACUAUCAGCCGCGACGAAGCUGACGUCGCCCCGCCUCCCCUCCCCGCAGGCAUGCGUUUGCAAGGGUGGCUCACGACAGUGAGGCGGACGAUGUGUACCAUGGAGGGAAACAGCCGGCCAGGAAGCUGCGCGAGGCGUCAGCUGGACGCGUGGCAGCGGAUCAGCUGGGGCGUGUCUUGUGACGACUGUGGCUCAGUGCCGGCGUCGUGAUGGUUCCUGCUCAGGGAGUGUGAUGGCUUCUCGAAGGGGCGUGGCAGCUGUCCUCCAAUGGAUCGCAUUUUAUUGCAGGGUGGGUCGAUCGCUGGCCGCGUGCGUGAAGCGAGCGACACAGCAUGCCGCCACGACGAGCACGCGAUGAGGGCACGGCCCCGCCGACCGUGUAGGCUCCUUUCCUUUUUGUUUUCUUGUCUGCUGGAGCUGCGGCUCCCCUUCAUUUGCAUGGCGCCUCUGCCAUCGCUGCUGUUCUCAGGGGCGAUCCCCACACCGUCAUGCAGCCAAUGCGGAGCCACAUCACUCCGUGACUCGCCGUCCAUACGUGAUUCUACACCCCGCUACAUAAAUUUCAGCGAAACUCUCGCAGAUGGGCCGCACCGUUAUCCUGCACGCCAAACGCGAAGGGGCACAGCGGGCGGCACGGGGAGCUGAGACCAGAGGCUGGAAGCAGAGGUGGCUCCGUAUUCUUGUCAAUACGCAAGCAGCGUCAUAUACGCGUAGCCGAUGCUCUUGAAUGGUGCGCCCUCU